rnacentral:misc_RNA from 1 species
CCUUCGCCUAGGUCGUAUCACUC